CCGGAGGAGCGGGAGCGGAAGCUGCACGCGGAAGCGCGGAGGAGAAAGGCGUGGGGUCAGAGUUCGAAGGUCGCGUAGGGCCGUCCGAACUGUUAGGUGUUUGCUGUUUGCUCCGUAGUGCUGCUGCCUCGGCGAGAUCCCCGAUAUGGCCCAUCCAAAACAGUUCCGUCAAUUCUGCGUCUUCAAGCCUUAAAAAUAAGCGAUCCGCGGCGGGAAAGCCGCCAACCACUUUUUAAGAGCCCAUCUCGGGGCCGGUGGCAUAAGGCACCCCACACCCACCCACCCAUCUACCCCCAGAAGCCUGUAUUGGUUGCUCCGCGCUUCCAAGGACAUGGGCGGCCCCAGACGUGACCCAGCUGAGUGAAAGCUUGGCUUGGCCCAACUCCGAGUACUUAACUGCACUAACUUGCCCGUGCCUUUCUUUAAGGAAGCCUGGUAAUUCGCAGAAAAUGUUUUUAGGUGAAGGGAUUUUGCAUGCUGAGAGAACUCCAGGUACUGAAAUAAGUUUUAUCCAGUUUGUAUAGGACUUAGUUUUGAAAAGUUGAGAAUCAGCCGGGCGUGGUGGCAAACGCCUUUAAUCCCAGCACUUGGGAGGCGGAGGCAGGUGGAUUUCUGAGUUCAAGGCCAGCCUGGUCUACAAAGUGAGUUUUAGGACAGUCAGGACUACACAGAGAAACCCCGUCUCGAAAAACCAAAAAAGAAAAGAAAAGUUGAGAACCUUUUCAGAAACCACUGGCUUCGGCUAUGUUAUAGACCUACCCUCUGUCAAUGUGGUAUCUCCUACCCACGGUAUAGAAUAGUGCUACUUAACUAGGCACUGAAAAUCCUCAGAAUCAGGUUGGGGGUGUAACUCAGGUUAUAGCGUGCACAAAGCCCUGGGCUUGAACCCCAGACUGCAUCAACUACAUGGUGGUGCAUCCUCAAAAUCCCAGCACACAGGAGGAGGCAGGUGGGCCAGAAGUUCAGGAUGGUUCUCAGCUGCAUCACCAGUUGAUUCUACAGGAGACCCUAUAUCAGAAGAAAGCCGAGCUUUUUGUUAAAAUGUGGUUUAUGGUUCAAUGAAAUGGGGGCAGGGUACAAGAUUCUGUAUUUCUUUUUUGGUUUUUCAAGAUAGGAUUUCUUUGUGCAGCCCUGGAUGUCCUGGAACUAGGUCUGUAGACCAGGCUGGCCAAAGAUGACAUAGGCUUUGGUCUUUUGACUAAACUGCUUUUGUUAACUUGUCCAAUAAAGAGUUGUCCUGUAGGUGGGUUGAUCUCACUUGUGUGCCACAAAGCUUUUGAGCUUUCAGAGAUGGUAGCAGGUCCCAAAAAUGUCAGGGAAGCAGGGUCUCGAGACCAAAGCCAGCAUGAAUUACUUAUAUGAAAAGUAAGGUCUGGAUCAGUUACCUAAGACUGUCUGGGCAGAGUGAAGGCUCAGUUACCUAAGAACUAGACCUCCUGGGCAGAGAGAAUGGGGGAGGGGGGUCUGUCUCCAGAAAGGCACCUUCAAGUGACUUUGGUUCAGAGCACCUGUUUAGUGGAAGCCAUUUGAAAAUUAAAGCCCUGAAAGUGCACAAACACACACACACACACACACACACACACACACAACUCUUCUGUGAUCACAGUCUUUACAUACAUAAUCUAACAGGCAAUCUAAAGUAUAGAAUCUGCAGACAGUGGAGGGACCAGAGCUGAUGUAAAAGAACAUGGAAUUAGGUCCUAGGAGCUCAGCUUCCCAUCCUGGAACAUCCCAAGAAACUUCAUUUAAUUGGCUUCUGGGGCUGCAGUGACAAAGGCUUGGCAAAGAGGAGCUUAUGAAGUCUGGAAAGGCUCUUUUGGAAGGAAAAAAUGACUUGUAACGUUUACAGCUUUGCUUGGGUUCUGCCAUCAGUGUUUGCCAGAUGUUUUCUUCUACUCCUAAGCUAGCGUGUCAUAUCGGCUUCUUUGCUCUGGACUGGGGAAUAUAACGGCGUUGGCAGUGUGCUCGCCUAGCAUGCGUGGAGCCCUGCCUCCCAUCCCUAGCACCACAUAAAGCUGGGUGUGGUCAUGCAUGCCUGUAAUCUCAGCACUUGGGAGGUGAAGGCCAGAGAAGUGGAAGGUCAGUUUCAUUAUUGGCUACAGUGUACAUAAUAAGAUCCUGUCUCCAGAAGGUGGGGGAGGGGCUCCUUUGUUCAAAGAGCAGGAAAGCUAAGCCUGCAUGAACUGGCCUGUGAAUCUUCUGUGGGGUCAGCCAAGUUUGACUUGCUGCUCUGUAGAGCCAAGGCUUGCUGUUAUGGUCCUAGUGUUUUCUUUAUAUCAUGUAACAGCAUCAGUGUCUGACAACAGAGAAUCAGAUAAUGCACAUGAAACAGUGUUACAUGGUCAGUAAAAAGGAUGCUGCAGGGAUGGAGACAUAGCUCAUACAUUAAAGCUGUUUUCCGGUG
rnacentral:lncRNA from 1 species